AGAAAGGAACAACACUAGUUUACUUUCUUGAUUUUCCGAUGGCUACUCCGGUGAAAGUGUACGGACCAACUUUAUCAACAGCAGUGUCAAGAGUUCUAGCUUGUCUUCUUGAAAAAAUGUCCAAUUUCAGCUCAUCCCAGUUAACAUGGCAAAAGGGGAACACAAAAAACCUGACUAUCUCAAAAUUCAGCCUUUUGGUCAAGUUCCAGCUUAUCAAGAUGAGGACAUCACUCUGUUUGAAUCCAGAUCUAUAAAUAGGUACAUAUGUGACAAAUACGGAAGUCAAGGUAACAAGGGAUUAUAUGGAACAAACCCGUUAGAGAAAGCGUCUAUAGAUCAAUGGAUAGAGGCAGAAGGACAAAGCUUCAAUCCACCAAGUUCAGUUCUUGUAUUCCAGCUGGCUUUUGCACCGCGAAUGAAGCUCAAACAAGACGAGAACUUGAUCAGACAGAACGAAGAGAAGCUCAAAAAAGUACUUGAUGUGUAUGAAAAGAGGCUCGGAGAUAGUCAGUACUUGGCUGGAGAUGAGUUCACAUUGGCCGAUCUCUCUCACCUUCCAAACAUUCAAUACUUGGUGAACGGAACAGACAGAGCAGAGCUCUUCACUUCAAGAGAGAACGUGGGAAGGUGGUGGGGUGACAUAUCCAACCGAGAGUCAUGGAAGAAGGUAGUUGAAAUGCAGACCUCACCCCCUCCUUCCUAGGACUUGUUGAAAUCGUUUAUUGUAUCAUUGUGUUGUUUGUGACAUUGCAGUUUUCUUUUCCCCAGACCCCACUCGUGGGAUUACUAUGUUGUUGUCGUAGACUAGCUACACCCUCACCUACGGGUUGAAUAAAGACAGAUUCCCAACAAUACAUCAAGGUGAUUAUCCAGGAAAUUGUGUAAUGAGCAUCCACAAUAUGAUGUAUUUAUAACACAGACCAUCUUAUAAGCAUGAGAA